rnacentral:rRNA from 1 species
UACGGAGGAUGCGAGCGUUAUCCGGACUUAUUGGGUUUAAAGGGUGCGUAGGCGGGCUGUUAAGUCAGCGGUAAAAGCCCGGGGCUCAACCCCGGCGAGCCGUUGAAACUGGCUGUCUUGAGAUGUCGAGAGGUAUGCGGAAUGCGCAGUGUAGCGGUGAAAUGCUUAGAUAUUGCGCAGAACUCCGAUUGCGAAGGCAGCAUACCGGCGGCGAUCUGACGCUGAGGCACGAAAGCGUGGGUAUCGAACAGG